rnacentral:tRNA from 1 species
GGGAAGUUGGCUCAGUGGUAGAGUGCUUGCCUUGCAUGCAUGAGGCCCUGGGUUUGAUUCCUCAGCAUCACA